UUACGGUCAAAUCACGCUGAAACACCGGUUCUCGUUCGAUCACCGAAGUUAAGCAUCGGGAGCCAGGUCAGUACUUGAAUGAGGGACAUGCCCGGAAAUCACCUGGUACUGUAA